rnacentral:rRNA from 1 species
GAGUUUGAUCCUGGCUCAGGACGAACGCUGGCGGCGUGCCUAAUACAUGCAAGUCGAACGAACUCUGGUAUUGAUUGGUGCUUGCAUCAUGAUUUACAUUUGAGUGAGUGGCGAACUGGUGAGUAACACGUGGGAAACCUGCCCAGAAGCGGGGGAUAACACCUGGAAACAGAUGCUAAUACCGCAUAACAACUUGGACCGCAUGGUCCGAGCUUGAAAGAUGGCUUCGGCUAUCACUUUUGGAUGGUCCCGCGGCGUAUUAGCUAGAUGGUGGGGUAACGGCUCACCAUGGCAAUGAUACGUAGCCGACCUGAGAGGGUAAUCGGCCACAUUGGGACUGAGACACGGCCCAAACUCCUACGGGAGGCAGCAGUAGGGAAUCUUCCACAAUGGACGAAAGUCUGAUGGAGCAACGCCGCGUGAGUGAAGAAGGGUUUCGGCUCGUAAAACUCUGUUGUUAAAGAAGAACAUAUCUGAGAGUAACUGUUCAGGUAUUGACGGUAUUUAACCAGAAAGCCACGGCUAACUACGUGCCAGCAGCCGCGGUAAUACGUAGGUGGCAAGCGUUGUCCGGAUUUAUUGGGCGUAAAGCGAGCGCAGGCGGUUUUUUAAGUCUGAUGUGAAAGCCUUCGGCUCAACCGAAGAAGUGCAUCGGAAACUGGGAAACUUGAGUGCAGAGGAGGACAGUGGAACUCCAUGUGUAGCGGUGAAAUGCGUAGAUAUAUGGAAGAACACCAGUGGCGAAGGCGGCUGUCUGGUCUGUAACUGACGCUGAGGCUCGAAAGUAUGGGUAGCAAACAGGAUUAGAUACCCUGGUAGUCCAUACCGUAAACGAUGAAUGCUAAGUGUUGGAGGGUUUCCGCCCUUCAGUGCUGCAGCUAACGCAUUAAGCAUUCCGCCUGGGGAGUACGGCCGCAAGGCUGAAACUCAAAGGAAUUGACGGGGGCCCGCACAAGCGGUGGAGCAUGUGGUUUAAUUCGAAGCUACGCGAAGAACCUUACCAGGUCUUGACAUACUAUGCAAAUCUAAGAGAUUAGACGUUCCCUUCGGGGACAUGGAUACAGGUGGUGCAUGGUUGUCGUCAGCUCGUGUCGUGAGAUGUUGGGUUAAGUCCCGCAACGAGCGCAACCCUUAUUAUCAGUUGCCAGCAUUAAGUUGGGCACUCUGGUGAGACUGCCGGUGACAAACCGGAGGAAGGUGGGGAUGACGUCAAAUCAUCAUGCCCCUUAUGACCUGGGCUACACACGUGCUACAAUGGAUGGUACAACGAGUUGCGAACUCGCGAGAGUAAGCUAAUCUCUUAAAGCCAUUCUCAGUUCGGAUUGUAGGCUGCAACUCGCCUACAUGAAGUCGGAAUCGCUAGUAAUCGCGGAUCAGCAUGCCGCGGUGAAUACGUUCCCGGGCCUUGUACACACCGCCCGUCACACCAUGAGAGUUUGUAACACCCAAAGUCGGUGGGGUAACCUUUUAGGAACCAGCCGCCUAAGGUGGGACAGAUGAUUAGGGUGAAGUCGUAACAAGGUAGCCGUAG